GGCCUUGCAGAUUCUUUUCUUUGCUUCCGGGAGCCUUCUUCAUAUCUGCAGUGGAUAUGAGGUGAUAUGGUUUGGCUCUGUUCCCCACCCAAAUCUCAUCUCGAAUUGUAAUCCUACGAUCGCCACGUGUCAAGGGCAGAAACUGGUAGGAGGUGAUUGGAUCGUGGGGGCAGUGUGCUGUUCUCGUGAUAGUGAGCAGCUUGCAGUCUAUCUGAGAAAACAAGACAUACCCUCAAGCAGAUAAUUGCCAUUUACAGUCAUUCCUAUGAUCUCAGCACUAUGUGGGUUUAAUCAGCCUUCUGCUAAAAGGAACCAGGUCCAAGACAUUCAGCAUGGCAUGGUAGCUAAGCAAGAUCCAGUGUCUUCAUUCAGCACUGACAGAGUCACUGUCUCUGAGCAGUACUUAGCUACAGAAACUUUGAAGCCUUCUGCAAUUUAUUAUGCUGAGUGCAUCUAAUCAACAUGUAGAAUAAAGAUGGAGCUCCAGAGAAGUUAGCACGCAAUCUGGGUGACAGGUGCUGAGCAAGGACAGCCUCUUCCCAAUACUCUCCAAGCGGCCUGCUGUUUCCAGGGAAUGAUAUUAUCAUUCUUGGCAUCUAGAACAGGACUCAAUGUAAGAUUGUCUAAGGCAGUCACUGGCUACAGUUCAUGGAAGCUUCAGGACGGCACUUGGCAUGAGCUCUCAGUGCUAUGGAAAAAAGAAGCUCUUAGGUGGAAUAUUUCUAGCUAAAAAAUGUAUAGUUUUUUUUGUUGUUGUUUCUGUUCCUUUCAUUUUUAUUUUUAGAAAUAGGAUUUCAAAGGGCAUUUGUCCUGGUCCCUCAGGAAAGAACAUUUUCUAAAGUGUUCCCAUCAACAAUGCCUCAGGUGUUACAGGUCCCUACUCUUGGCCAUCCAGCUCUGCCACCGUGCCUGGAUUCUGCAUUUUCAAAGGGACCAGCUUACCAGCAGCAUCCUCUUCCUGCUGCCUCUUGACUCACACAGAUCCCAUCAAUAAGCAUUCACUGAGGCCUGCUCUAAGUGAGGCUCUGGGGAGAGUGCUGUGGGAGCUUCAAGAGCAAUAGCAGCCCUGAGCUCCAGGAGCUUCCCCUCUGAGGUGGGGAAUUGCGAUGCAUGGAACAUCUCCAACACACAAAGCAGACUCUUGCUAGGCUUCGAACUGGAAUUGCAUUGAUCGUAUUAACUUGGGGGAGAUCUGAUAUAUUUAAAAGAAAAAAAUAAGCCGGGCAUGGCGGCUCACGUCUGUAAUCCCAGCACUUGGGGAGACUGAGGUAGGUGGAUCAUUUGAGGUCAGGAGUUUGAGACCAGCCUGGCCAACAUGGUGAGACCCCGUCUCUACUAAAAAUACAAAAAUUAGCCGGGCGUGGUGGGUGCCUGUAAGCCCAGCUACGUGGGAGGCUGAGGCAGGAGAAUCGCUUGAACUUGAGAGAUGGAGGCUGCAGUGAGCUGAGAUCAUGCCACUGCACUUCAGCCUGGGUGACAGAGUGAGACUCUGUCUCAAAAAAGAAAAAAAAAAAAAAAGAAAAAAAUAUAGGCGAUGGAACAGAAAAGUGGGCAGUGGCUAUGAAGAUGCAAUCCAAAUAUAAGGUAAUACUUAUCACCAAAGAAAUAGCAAUUAAGACAACAGUGAGACAGCAUCUUGUGUCUGUCAGAUUGGAGGAAAAAUACUAAAUUGAAUAAUGUGAAUUGUUGUUGAGGAUUGUGGAACUAGCCUUCCAUGAAACGUUUCUAGAAGUCUAAAUGAGUGUAGACACUCCAGAGAGCAAUCUGGCGGUAUUUAGCAAUCCCAUACCUGGGCAUAUAACUUGGACAAACUCUGAUUAUAACAGACUAGGCCCAAGGAUAUGUUUAUUGCAGUAUUAUUGGUGGUAGUGAUGAGUUGGAGGCAAUAUAAGUUUCUACCACAAGGAGGGUUGAUAUGAGCGUUUGAUGAAUAGUAUGCAGUAGUCAGAAUAAUAAAACAGAUGUACACUCAGCAUGGAGAAAUCUGAAUAAGAUACUGUUGGCUGAUGACAGUAAGACAUGGAUUGAGAUAUAUAGUAGAGUGUCAUUUAUAUAAAUUCAAAACACGUGCACAAGAUGAUCAUGUCUCUAGUAGCUACAAAAGUGCUUGAUACAGAGUAGGCCUUCAGUAAAUUGUUUUACUUGUUGUCAAUAAAAAUAUAUAUACUAAAUAAAUAUCUAACAUUUAUGUAAGUUAAGAAUACAUAGACAUAUACAUAUUUUAAGGGUAUAUACAAAUGCGAAACAUAAUUUAAGGGUACGGCUCUUCUGGAUAGUCCAGCGUUCAAAUGGAGUUCUCUGGAGUGAAGUAAAAUUAAUUCACAAACCUCUGUUGCAUCCAAGGUCAAAUACUCUCACGAACACCCACUCUCUGUUCCCUGGUUUAAUACUCACUGAGUAACAUUCUGAAGCCUGAGACUUUUAUACAUACCCAGUUUCCAGAAAAGGCACAAAGAAGCUUUCCCCAAAAGAAAAUACAUGAAUAUUCCAUUUAUUUAAAAACAUCCGAGCAGGUCUAAGCAAUAUAAAUUAAUAUAGCAGCAUCAGUGUCUUGUGAGUUAAGACGAGUGUCCUAAGAUUUAGUUGCUUAACUGAUUCCUCUAUGUCCCUAAAUCAAAUGAUGAAAUACAGAUUUAGGUUCCAUUUUUUUGAAAGAAUACUUCAUAGGUCAUUCUGUCUACUUCCUACUGCACCACAUUUAGGAGGGAGGCACAUCAUGUGUGGUUGUCUCUUUAGUAAUUCUGAGAUUGGUCAAGGGGUCCAGGUGGUGUCUGACCUUAUUCCAUCAUUACAAAAGAAGUCACCAUCUACUUUUUACCUAGUGGUUUCAGUAUCUUUGGAUAAUCACUGCCCGGAUUUAUCAAGGUUUGCAAAAUGAUUUUCUAAUUCUGUGGUUCCUUCUAUACACAUUAGCUGGGAUUCUUCAAAAUGUAACUUACAAAACAAACAAAAUCACUAUCAAGACUUGACAUUCCUUCUUCCAUAUCAAUUUUCAGAAUAGUGAUAAAAGUUACCAGUAAUGAUUUCUAGUGGAGACCAAUAUGUUUUUCUCAUCAUUAUAUACUUUUUUUUUUUUUUGAGACAGAGUCUUGCUCUGUCACCAGGCUAGAGUGCAGUGGUGUGAUCUCUGCUCACUGCAACUUCCGCAUCCUGGGUUCAAGCAAUUCUCCUGCCUCAGCCUCCCAAGUAGCUGGGACUACAGGUGCACACCACCACGCCCAGCUGAUUUUUGUAGUUUUAGUAGAGACAGGGUUUCACCAUAUUGGCCAGGAUGGUCUCGAUCUCUUGACCUCGUGACCUGCCCACCUCAGCCUCCCAAAGUGCUGGGAUUACAGGCAUGAGCCACUGCGCCCAGCCCAUAAAUUUUUAUAUAUUUGAUGAGGUUGAAUUAAUUGCCAUCAUUAUUCUCUUUUCUCUCUCUCUUUAGGAUCCUUAAACAGCUUAUAUUCAAUAAACUGCAUAUGUUUAAAUGGCACACUUUGUAAAGUUUGGUGAUACUGUACAGUCACAAAAGCAUAAUCAAUGUAGCAAACAUAUCUAUUGUAAUCUAAAAUGUCCUUGUGCCUUUUUUAACCUCCUGCUCCUCCUCCAUACUAUAUCCCCAGGCGACCUCUGAUUUACUUUAUGUUGGAAUUUUUGAGAAAUUCAUACAAAUGGCAUUAUUUAGUAUGUACUCUUUGUGUCUGACUGCUUUUACUCAGCAUAAUUAUUUUGAGAUUCAACAUGUUGUCUGUAUCAAUACCUUUAAUUGUCAAGUGGUAUGCUAUUGUAUGACUAUGUCACAAUUGUUUAGCCAUCGAUGAACAUUUGGGUCGUUUCCAGUUUGGGGUUACUACAAAUAAAGCUGCUAAGAACAUUUUUAUAUAAAUCUUUGUGCAGACAUAGAUUUUAUUUCUAUGGGAUAAAUACCUACUAGUGGAAAGGCUACAUCAGAUAGUAGGGUAUAUACUUAACUUUUCAAAAAAAACUGCAAAUGUGCUUUCCAUAGAAGUGCUAUUGCACAUUUCUCCUGAGCAUGAGAAUUUCAAUUCUUCCCCAUUCUCUCCAAUAUUUAGUAUGGUCAGACCUUAUAAUUUUAUCCAUUUUAAUAGGAGUAUAUUAUGGUUUGAAUGUGUCCCCUCCAAAAUUCAGGUGUUGACAUUUAAUGGCCAAUGUGAUAGUAUCAAGAGAUAGGACCUUUAAGAGGUGGUUAGGUCCUGAGGACUCCUCACUCAUGAAUGGGAUUAAGAGAUUUCGUGCAGCUUUUGACUCCCUUGCCCUUUCACCUUUCACCAUGUGAGGACACAGUGUUCCUCCCCUCCAGAGGACGCCACAACUGGGCGCCAUCUGGGAAGCAGAGGGCAGUCCUCAAUAGACAAAGGAACCUGCCAGCAUCUUGAUCUGGGACCUUGCAGCCUCCAGAAACUAUGAGAAAUACAUUUUUGUUCUUUGAUAAAUUACCCAGUCUUCUGUAUUUUGUUAUGGCAGCACAAAAAGAACUGUGACACUGUGUACAUGUACUUAAUCGUGGUUUUACAGCAGUCUCCCUUUCUCUGCUGUUUCACUUUUUUGUUGUUUGUUUGUUUUGAGAUGGAGUCUCGUUCUUGUCGCCCAGUCUGGAGUGCAAUGGCGUGAUCUCGGCUCACCGCAACCUGUCCUCCUGGGUUCAAGCAAUUCUUCUGCCUCAGCCUCCGAAGUAGCUAGGCUUACAGACACGUGCCACCACACCCUGCCAAUUUUUGUAUUUUUAGUAGACAGGCUGUUAGGCAGGCUGGUCUUGAACUCCUAACCUCAGGUGAUCCGCCCACCUUGGCCUCCCAAAGUGCUGGGAUUACAGGCAUGAGCCACCGCACCCAGCAUGCUGAUUCACUUUCUGCAGUUUCAGUUACCCACAGUCAACCAUGGGCCAGAACAUAGUUACACUGCCACAAGUUGUGGAUGGGAGGGCUGGAUUUCCUGAACCCUUCCCAGCAUUGCUCGAGUUUCUUGGUUCCUCCGCUAGAGAAGAGGAGCCCCAGAGCUCUGUAGGCUCCAGAAAAGUGCCCAAAUCAUAAGCAGACAUCUCAUUGGAUUUACUGAGCACACCCAGGUAUCCACCACCCAAGGGAAGCAACGAAGGUGACCCCACCCAGCAUUUACCCUGUGUCCCUAUCUUGGACAUUGAUUCUGCUCCAGAGGUCACAAUCUCAUGCCGCCAAUUGCCAUAGAUUCGUUUUGCUUGGUCUUAAACUUUAUAUAAAUGAAAAUUCAACUUUAUGCUGUCUACAAGAGGCAUACUAACUCAUAAAAAUUAAAAGACUGACCCAGAAAACACAGCAAAAAGAAAAAUAUCACGAAAUGAUUGUCAGUCCAAUUAAAAUUCAAGACUGGAAGAAUUCAUGGGUCAGAGAAGCUGGUACAAGUGGAUCUGCUCGGCACCUAUAACCUAAUUACCUCUCAGGCUCACACAAGUCUCUGGCCGCUAAGCGAAUGAUCUCCCAAAGGGAUUAUUCUCAAGCAGCACAGAAACUGUCCCUAUGCCUCAGGUGGCCCCAGAACUCUUUCGUACUAGAGACUUAUCUGUUAAUAAAGUUAACAAAGGAAAGUGGCCUUCCAAGAAUGUUUGUUUGGGCCACUACCUGGAAGAAAUAACACUUGACCAUGAGAGACUUGGCUGAGCAGUGCUGGGUCAGCUUAACCAAAGAAGACCAGCCAUCACCCACGGCAAGAGCAGCUCUGACUUGGACCCACUGUUCCCCCAGCCUGUUAGCAGCCUGUGAACAAUCUUUAAGUGACCCCUGGCCCUGUCACAUCUCCAUUCAACAGGGUUCUUGGGGAGGAUGUGUGGACCGAGAACAGUGCCCACCCACACCACCUGUAAGUGUGGCCACGGCAGCCAGCCAGCAUGGAUGCUAAGUAACAAGUGGUAUUGGGGCACAGAUGUGGCGGGAGCGCUUUGGGGCAAAGAAAGAGGUGCUGUGAGUGAGGACAGAAAGGAAGGGGAAAAAAAAGCCUCAUGGGUUAGAGCGCCUCUCACCUUUGGCUCUUCUUCAGAAGACUGGUAAAAGAAAACAAGAAGAGAAAUUGGUUUCCCUGACUUCUCUAAAGCAAGCGUUCUUCAGAAAAGAGAAUCGAUCAGCCUGGUUAAAGUGGAUAAACUAUGUGAUGUCCAUCCAGAGAGGUGUCUAUUAAUGGCUGUAAAAUGGAAAGAUGAAUCAAUGGGACCGAUUAAUAUUUAUGAAGAGUUGAACUAGGCAGAGUGAAAAAGCCUUGUAUAUUGGAUAAGAAAGGAAAAGCAUUGCACACCAUAGGAUGCGUUUGUUUGGCUAAGGUUUCUGUUUUGAUCACUGGGUAAUUGUAUAGAGCAGGGGCGUAUGGUAGAGAAAGAAAAUCUAUAUCUAGAAGUUAUUGACUUUAUGUACAAAAGCACUGGUUGGUGCCUAUUUUUGAGGACCACUCCAUCUUAAAAAUAACUUUGGUUUUGUACGGCCUAGUUGUGGUGGAAAAGGAGCUCCAAAGAGUAAGCAAGUUUCCUACAAAAAGAAUCCAAGCUGUUGAAACUACAAUUAAGAAAUGCAAAGAGUUACUAAUUUUACUACUUAGAGGAAAGGAAAUUCACAAGCAGGAAAGAAACUGUGGAUCAGGGCAAGUUGUAACUCUAGAGGUUCAGAGAUAGGAGCUCUAAUUACACCAGGGCAAGGGAGUACUGUUUGGGGAAAUUUCUGAAACAUGAAAUAGGAAAGCUGAGGGUCAAAAUGAUAUUGUGAUGUGAAUAAAUAGAGAAGACAUGUUUGCAUGGAGCUCAGCUGGGUAAUCAUGGAAAGAAGGAGGGGCGAAGGAGGAAACUGAAAAUCGAAAUAAAGAACAGAAGCACAGACCAUGAAAUAUGCCAAAUAUAGUGUGCAAAUACUCAGAAGGCAUGGAAAGAUAAGUUAGAAGCCAAAACUCAGUUAUCACUAUCGUGUGAAGGAACAAUAAAACUCUUAGCAAAAACAAAUGACUUAGCAUGAGACCAAUACUGCUUUCCUUAGGUAGCUUGGUCCAGAGGGAAAAGGCUGAUAUCACUCCCUAUCAAGGGUUUUUAGACGGUUUAAGUGAGCUCUGCAAGUGGGAGACACGGUGAUGAUUAUUGACAGUUGCUAUCUUUCAAGGGGGAGAAGCAAACUGAUGUUACACAUUAGAAUUAGUUAGCACCACCGAACACAGGUUACAAAAAUACUGGGAGGAAUUCUCUCUCCUGAGCACAUUACGCAAUAUUUGCAAAUGUGUGCAGGUAAGUGUUGACUCUCUCAUCAUGCUGGACCUGGAAAUGGUUCUCAGCAAAUCAUGGCAUGAUUUCUUUUUCAAAGUUGGGUACACGAAUAUUAUCGUAACCAGCUAAGAGCAGGGAGACGUGGCAUGGGAGACUAACAGAUAGUGCAGCUUUUAAGAGAAGACGUAGAAAUCAAUCUAGUAACAAAUAUUUAUUAAGCAUUGGAGUGUGCUAGGCACCAAGAGAAAAGAAACCUCCACAGCUGAUAAAGCCUUUCAAAAUAAUGUCCUCAGUUAAUUUGCACAUUUCCAUGAGGUAGGUGUUGUUAGCCAUUUCCGUUAAUGAGAAAAAAAAAAAUGAGAUUCAGAAAGGUUAAUUAAAUUGGAGAUCUCCUGAUUUUUUAGUUUUAUAUCCUUCCCGUGUCCUUUCCAGGCUUAUAUUCUGGUCCUAUCACUUCUCAGCUGAGUUACUUCAACAAGUUAUUUAUUCUCUGUGUUCCCAGCUGUCAAAAUGAAAAUGCCAGUACCCACCUGGUAAGGAGUGAGAGAACAUUUAUAAAAAUGCUCGGCUGGGUACCUGACACAUAGGAGGUCCUCAGUAAAUUUGUUUUCUCCCUUUCUUCCUGAAGUACGGUGGCAGAGGGAUUCAGCCAGCCAGCCUGGGUAGCACAAGCCAUGAUGCCCUGCUGAAUCUGUGUUCUAGGGUCGGACAGGGGGAGUCCUUUUGCCUAGAGGGAUGGUGUGCGAGGCCUAAGAGGACUUGGGCAGAGUCUUGAAGGACGAGCAGGAUUUGCUGUGGUGGAGAGGUGGUCACGGGUUGAGCAGAUAGGAGAACCAAGGAAUCAAGGCAGGGAAAGAGAGGGGAUGCAUGUGAAGGGCCAGGAGCUGUUAACUAGUUUGCUAAGCAGCAGGCGAGGAUUUAGAAGGAGUUGGAGAAGUGUGGAGGGAGCUGAGGCUCUUGUGAGGGGAACUUUUAUGCUAAGGGUUCCAACUUGGCCCUGUGAAUGAAGGUGAGCUGGGGAAGGUUUGUGAACUUGGAGUCUCACCUGUAAAAGAUUAAUCUGGUGCCAGUGUACAGAAUGGACCGUCAAGGAAGAGGUGGAAAAACAAGGAAAAUUUGUAUUUUAUAGACACACACACACAUAGACACAGAGCCCUUUUUAUUAGAAAACAUAUAAUCAACUUAACCCCAUUUUAAAUGGCUUGGACAUUAAUUUUACUCUUGUAAUUGAUUAUAGAGGUUUAAAACUGUUGUGUUUUUGCCUUUGUGACAUAUUAUGGCUGUAUCUAAAAUUUAUUUGAUGUUAAAUCAAGAACAAAACUCUUCAAUUCUAUUGUUGUUCCUAAGGUAAAAUAUAAUCUACUUUGAGUCAAUUCACUGUGUCAUAAACUUUCCAGGAAUGGGAAACUUGAUAAAAAGCAGAGACUCACUGCAUAUGACAAUAAUUAAAUCUAUAUUCAACAAGUAUAAAAGAAUGGUUGUAGGGGUGAGCAAUUUGGAAGAAAAAAAGCCACUUGACUUAAAUAUGACAGAAAAUCAUACUGAGGUCUGACACCCCAUGACCUUUUUUGAGAUUUGAGGUUAUGCCAUGUAUUUGAGAAUAAAUAAAAUCCAUUUAAGUGUCUAUAUUAUUAAAUGAAUCGUAUUUUCAGAAAGCAUUAGAUAAAGUCUGUUUUAGACCUUGGAAUCCAUUUUUCUCAUGAACACAAUAUCGUAAAUAGAUGAGAAUUGAGUUCCCAGUCUAUAAAACCCUUAUUAAAUCAUCAUGUAGCUGAACUAUUCUAUAUUGGCAAUCAAUAGAGUUGAGUAAUCUUUUCAUAGUCACAGUGAUAAAAAAACAAAAAAUAUUGAAGAAGUAAUUUUUCAAAAAAUAGAGGUAUAGCACGUUUAAUUAUGGAUUAAGAGGCCGAUAAAUAAUUUUGUGGUGAUUCUGAAGAGACUAUCUGGGCACUUUCAAAAGCUUUAGAGUUGAUAAACUGUUCUUAUUAUGUCUAAUUUAAUAUUCAAAAUUUAUGACCAUUCAUUCAUUCAUCAAACAUAACUUAGAUAUCUACAAUAGGUAUUGUGCUAGCCGCUGGAGAUUUCAAUGUAAUGAAACAGUUCCUAACUUAAAGAAAAGCAGCACUUGAAAUUUUACUAAUGCAUUCAGUCAUUUACUUAACAGAUACUGAAUGUUUGCUACCGUGAGUCUAUUAUUCCUAUGCGUAUCAACUCCCAGGAAGCAUGUGUAGCUCGCUGAUGGAAUACAGAGAAAUAUUCCUGAGAGAAUACCAAAAAUAGUCCGUUUGUGCUACUAAAACAAAAUGGCUGAGACCGAGUAGCUAGCUUAUAAAGAACAGAAAGCUAUUUUCUCACAGUUCUGGAGGCUGGGAAGUCCAAGAUAAAAGCACCAACGGGUUUGGUUGUCUGGCAAAGGCUUCUCUCUGUUUCCAAGAUGGUGCCUUGUUGCUGUGUCCUCCAGAGGGAAGGAAUGCUGUGUCUUCACAUGGCAGAAGGCUGAAGGGCAAGUGAGCUAACACUGUGUGAAGCUUAUUUUAUAAGGACCUUAAUCCCAUUCAAGAGGGAG
rnacentral:lncRNA from 10 species